rnacentral:rRNA from 1 species
GACGAACCGUGCGAACGUUGUUCGGAUUCACUGGGCUUAAAGGGCGCGUAGGCGGGCGGUCAAGUCAGGGGUGAAAUCUUUCGGCUCAACCGGAAAAGUGCCUUUGAUACUGGCCGUCUCGAGGGAGGUAGGGGCAUGCGGAACUUCCGGUGGAGCGGUGAAAUGCGUAGAUAUCGGAAGGAACGCCGGUGGCGAAAGCGGCGUGCUGGACCUCUUCUGACGCUGAGGCGCGAAAGCCAGGGGAGCAAAGCGGG